AGCUUCCGCCCUGCGGGCUCAGAGCCACGCGGCGCGCCCGCGAGCUGCCCCCGGGAUCGGUGGCUGUUACCUCCCGGCGUCCCGGACCGCAGCCUUCCGCACUCAGGGGCUUGGAUCUCCCCUCCCAGACGCAAAAGCCUAGCUUCCCUCUUCCUGGAGCUCUUGUCUCCCGUCCCCCAGGUUCAAGCUUCCCAGCCUCCGUUUCCAGGACCCCGGCGCCCCGGAUCCCUGCCUCCCGGAUCGGCGCUACCGGGACGUGGCCUCUUGAGGACCUCUGCCACUUGGACGCCUUCAGCCUUCCAGAGCCCAAGACCCCCUGUCCCAGCCUGAUACACUCCUGUAUUCCCAUCCCUAGGGCCGAGAAACCCAGGGGUUUCGGGCGCAGGACACAACCUGGGAGAGCAGAGGAGCCUCGGCGCCCAGCUUCGGGAUCUCAGACACUCCAGCUUCCACGAGCCAAGGAACCUCGGCGCCGUGAACUCCCAACUCCAAGGAACCCUCCAGAGUUCCAGCCUCCAGGCUGUGUUACAAAACUCUCCGUUCUAAGGAACGUCGGCGUUCCGGGAAGGAGCCCCCCAAGCGCUCGCAGCUUCCAGACGCCGCAGAACUCCGGGGGGCGUUCCAACAUGGUGGCCGAUCCCCCGCGCGGAGAGCCCAAGGGGUUCGAGGCGGCCGAGCCCACCGGGAACGGUGCCCCGACGUUGCUCCCUAAAGAGGACCCCGACCCGGCAGGAGGCCGCUGCUGCGGUUCCCGGGAGCGGGUGCGCCGCUGCCUUCGCGCCAACCUGCUGGUGCUGCUGACGGUGGCGGCCGUGGUGGCAGGCGUGGCGCUGGGGCUGGGGGUCUCGGGGGCCGGUGGCGCGCUAGCGCUGGGCCCCGCGCGCCUGGCGGCCUUCGCCUUCCCCGGCGAGCUGCUGCUGCGCCUGCUGAAGAUGAUCAUCCUGCCGCUGGUGGUGUGCAGCCUGAUCGGCGGCGCCUCCAGCCUGGACUCGAGCGCGCUCGGCCGCCUGGGCGCCUGGGCGCUGCUCUUUUUCCUGGUCACCACGCUGCUGGCGUCCGCGCUCGGCGUGGGCUUGGCGCUGGCCCUGCGGCCGGGGGCCACCUUCGCCGCCAUCAACGCCUCGGUCGGCGCCACGGGCGCCGUGGAAGAGGAAGAGGCCCCCAGCAAGGAGGUCCUCGAUUCGUUCCUGGAUCUUGUGAGAAAUCUCUUCCCCUCCAACCUGGUGUCCGCAGCCUUCAGCUCAUACAGUACCGUCUAUGAAAGCAGAUGGAUCAACGGAACCAAGGUGAAGGUGCCCGUUGGGGAUGAGGUAGAUAGUAUGAACAUCCUGGGCCUGGUGGUAUUUGCCAUUAUCUUUGGCGUGGCCCUGCAGAAGCUGGGGCCCGAGGGAGAACUGCUUAUCCGCUUCUUCAACUCCUUCAAUGACGCCACCAUGGUGCUGGUCUCCUGGAUCAUGUGGUAUGCCCCCGUGGGCAUCUUGUUCCUGGUGGCUGGCAAGAUCGUGGCAGUGGAGGACGUGGGGCUGCUCUUCACCAGUCUCGGCAAAUACAUCCUGUGCUGCCUGCUGGGCCACGCCAUCCACGGGCUCCUGGUGCUGCCCCUCAUCUACUUCCUCUUCACCCGCAAAAACCCCUACCGCUUCCUGUGGGGUAUCGUGACACCGUUGGCCACUGCCUUCGGGACCUCUUCUAGCUCGGCCACGCUGCCGCUGAUGAUGAAGUGCGUGGAGGAGAGGAAUGGUGUCGCCAAGCACAUCAGCCGCUUCAUCCUACCCAUCGGUGCCACCGUCAACAUGGAUGGGGCGGCGCUCUUCCAGUGUGUGGCCGCAGUGUUCAUCGCACAGCUCAACCAGCAACCCCUGGACUUUGUGAAGAUCAUCACCAUCCUGGUCACCGCCACCGCGUCCAGCGUGGGGGCCGCGGGCAUUCCGGCUGGAGGUGUCCUCACUCUGGCCAUCAUCCUGGAGGCAGUCAACCUGCCAGUUCACGACAUCUCCUUGAUCCUGGCUGUGGACUGGCUAGUGGACCGGUCCUGCACAGUCCUCAAUGUGGAAGGUGAUGCCUUUGGGGCGGGACUCCUCCAAAAUUACAUGGAUCGUACAGAGAUGCGGAGUUCAGUGCCAGAGUUGAUCCAAGUGAAGAGUGAGAUGCCCCUGGCUCCACUGCCCGCCCCCACUGAGGAGGGGAACCCCCUCCUCAAACACCGCCUGGGAUCUGCUGGGGAUACAGACUCCUGUGAGAAGGAGUCGGUUAUGUAAACCCCAUGGGGACUUUUCCCUGUGCUGAUGGGGGCACUCUGGACAUUGGGAUUGUGAACCGGGGUUCUGGAGGCCCUUCCUGCUGCACACUUAAGGGAUCCAGGGUCCCAGCCUCUCUCCCUGACAUCAGAUCUGGGAGGCCUCGAUGCUGGGGUAUAGGCGUGUGUCUGUGUGUGUGUGUGUGUGUGUGUGUGUGUGUGUGUGUGUGUUGCGGCUCCAUGGUACAUCCCACCCUGUCCUCAGGCCCUCUGUUCCCUCCGCUGUAACAAACACUCCUGGGGACCCUGCCAGGGUGGGGGAGACUGAGGACAAAUACUGCUGUCACUCCAAAGGACAUUCUGUAGCAAUAAAACUAUCAAGUGUA